UCCCUGGUGGCUCAGUUGGUAAAGAAUCUGCCUGCAAUGCAGGAGACCCUGGUUCGAUUCCUGGGUCGGGAA
rnacentral:tRNA from 1 species